rnacentral:lncRNA from 1 species
CAGAAGUCAGGUCGGAUUAAGCCAUAGUACGGAAAAAACUAUGCUACCUGUGAGCCCCGUCCAAGGACGUUAAAAGAAGUCAGGCCACUACAAGUGCCAUAGCUUGAGUAAACUAUGCAGCCUGUAGCUCCACCUGAGAAGGUGUAAAAAAUCUGGGAGGCCACAAACCAUGGAAGCUGUACGCAUGGCGUAGUGGACUAGCGGUUAGAGGAGACCCCUCCCUUACAAAUCGCAGCAACAAUGGGGG